GUAACUAUUCUACCUUGUCCUACAAUACUUUUGUGUGAGUGAACUAAGAAGAGGACACAUGGAAGACAGAUAAUUGGCGGUAUCAUUUUCUAACAGCAUAACAUUGGGGAAGUUACUUUAUCCUGAUAUGCCUCAGUUCCAUCAUCUGUAAAAUGGGAAUAAAUUAUCUACCUUACGAGGUGAUCAAAGAAGUGAAUGAGAUAACGCUAUGACACACCAACAAAAAUAAGUGACCAAUAAAUGCUUAAAGCCUUCUUGGGUGUAUGACCAUGCUAUUUUCAGAAGCUAACUGACAUCACCUUUGAAAUUCACCUUCCCUCCUUCAAAGUAAAUACUGCAGAAUUUUCAUUAAAAAAAAAAAAAAGGAAAGAAAAAACUUCAUGAACAUGACUUGAUCAUUCUACAGCACAACAUGUAGUAUAAAUUUACAAGGGCUGGUCUGUGGACAAACUUCAGAAAAUCUAAGAAGUUUGACCCAAAAACCCCACCUCAAAACAAACAAAUGAAA